AACGAACGCUGGCGGCACGUUUUAAGCAUGCAAGUCGAAUGGCAGCAGGGGCAACUCUGUGAGAAUGGCGAACGGGUGAGUAACACGUAGGUGAUCUGCCUUGAGGAUGGGGAUAGCCUGUGGAAACACAGGGUAAUACCGAAUGAGCUGACGAGACUUUGGUUUUGUUAGUAAAGGUGCUACGGCACCGCCUUGAGAGGAGCCUGCGGUCUGAUAGCUAGUUGGUGGGGUAAGAGCUUACCAAGGCGACGAUCAGUAGCCGGCCUGAGAGGGUGUACGGCCACACUGGAACUGAGUCACGGUCCAGACUCCUACGGGAGGCAGCAGCUAAGAAUCUUCCGCAAUGGGCGAAAGCCUGACGGAGCGAUGCCGCGUGAUCGAUGAAGGUCGAGAGAUUGUAAAGAUCUUUUCUACAUGAGGAAUAAGUCUGGGAGGGAAUGCCCGGAUGAUGACGUUAGUGUAGGAAUAAGCCCCGGCUAAUUACGUGCCAGCCGCCGCCGUAA
rnacentral:rRNA from 1 species